GCGGGGCGGGGCGGGGCGAGCGCGUGCGCUCCGCGAGCCCCACCGCGCCGGCCGGCCUCGUAAGCCCCUUCGCGUGGCCCCGUCAUCUACGUGGGCCUUGCAGCUUCCGAGCUCUUCUCCUGGAAUCGCGGGGCUCAUGAGAGCCCGACCAGUGCUCGAAAUCACACUCCUUCAAAAAAAGAGAGAAAUGUAAGGCCCAGGGAAGAGAGAGCUCCGGACUCAGAGGCGGAGGUUGGCUCGAGAGGCGGUGUCCCCGCCCAGGAAGAUGCGGGCAGCCAUGUGUGAUGGGCACCCUGGCCUCCGAAGACCCCCGGGAGAGGCCGCUCACGGUGGUGUCCGAGCUUGCUGGGGAACUCGCGGCACGGACGGUAGCAGAGUAAGCGCGCUUCGGCGGCUCCCGCUUGAGGUGCCGCAGCCGUGGCGACGGCCUCUGCCGGAGGAGCUCACCGGUGUUGGCACUUGAGCUCCAGCCCAGACGCACAAGCCAGCGGGGAAGCAGCUGACCUGUGGUUCAGGAUCAGACAGGACAGACAAGUACUUAGAAAAACAGACACCAGGAGCGCAUGCCUGAACCGCGCAAAACCCAGGACAGAGAUGGGAUUAUCCAGGAAAGUUCUGUGGAGGAGCCUCUUGUCUAAUGAAGUGAAUUCCCAUGACAGAUCCACAAGGUUGAGAAUUUUACACCAGCAGAACUGCCAACUUGAGACUCUGAAGGACAGAAAAAGAACAAAAUGAAAGAAGGCUGUGAAUCCCCAAAAUUCCAAAAGCAGGAAACAAGCUGAUAAAACUACUCAUCUAUAAACAAGUGCUUCUGUUCAUGAAAAAGCGAGGGCUCCUAGGAAGUCAGCUUGAGCUCAGAGAAUACUCUCUGGCCUUAAAGCCUGGAUACUUUUUCCAGCUAGAUUUUUAAAUUGGUUAAGACCAAUGACUGCUUUUUCCCAUCUAUUGUCCUCCCAUUUUGAAGGGCCAUGUCUCCAGGAUGGAUCAUACCUAGCUCUCACCUAUACCUCAUUUAGACAAUGAGACUUUGGACUUUGGAGCCAAGACAGAGAUGUUGCUUUGAUGGUAUGCAAUGGUUGACACUUUGGGUAACACGGAGAUUAAAAUGAAUGCAUUCUGUAUGUGUGAGAUGGCUGUGAAUCUUUAGGGGCAAAGGCCAGACUAAGGAAGAAUACCCUGCCAACCUACCAAAAAUGUACAUGUCCUAAUCCCCAACACCUGUGAAUGUUACUACACAUCGCCAAAGGACUUUUGGGAUGUGAUGAAGUUACAGCAUCAUUAGGGAACUAAUUCAGUGAUUGAGUCCUUGUCUUGGGGCAAGAAAAAAAAAACAAACCCAGAAUGGAUCUUGUAGAAUUCUUUCCUCUGCAGAAAAUAACGAGGUGACAAUGGAUAUAAAAUAAUAAAAAGGAGAGGUGCCUGGAUGGCGCAGUAGGUUGAGCCUCAGAUCCUUGGUUUUAGCUCAAGCCAUGAUCUCAGGGUUGUGAGAUGGAGCCCUGCUUCAGGGGGAGGGCUCAGGGGAUUGCCUCCCCAUUCAGCAAUCUGCUUGACAUUCUUUCUCCCUCUGGCCCACCCCCAUCCUCUCUCUCUAAAAUAAAGUCCUUAAUGAAUAAUAA